AGUGAACGCUGGCGGUAGGCCUAACACAUGCAAGUCGAACGGCAGCACAGUAAGAGCUUGCUCUUACGGGUGGCGAGUGGCGGACGGGUGAGGAAUACAUCGGAAUCUACUUUUUCGUGGGGGAUAACGUAGGGAAACUUACGCUAAUACCGCAUACGACCUACGGGUGAAAGCAGGGGAUCUUCGGACCUUGCGCGAUUGAAUGAGCCGAUGUCGGAUUAGCUAGUUGGCGGGGUAAAGGCCCACCAAGGCGACGAUCCGUAGCUGGUCUGAGAGGAUGAUCGGCCACACUAGAACUGGGACACGGUCCAGACUCCUACGGGAGGCAGCAGUGGGGAAUAUUAGGCAGUAGGCGCAAGCCUGGUCCAGCCAUACCGCGUGGGUGAAGAAGGCCUUCGGGUUGUAAAGCCCUUUUGUUGGGAAAGAAAAGCAGCAGGUUAAUACCCCGCUGUUCUGACGGUACCCAAAGAAUAAGCACCGGCUAACUUCGUG
rnacentral:rRNA from 1 species